GCUUUCUGAGAAAGCCCCCGUCAAUUUGGAUCCGAUUGUUUGGUUAGGAGGCGGCGCUGAAGAAUGAAGAAGGACUGGGCUUGAGAAACGAAACCCGAAAUCGAAAUCGAGAAUUGGUAGAGUUCCACAAAUCCCCUCCAUCGGAAUACCGCUUUUCUGACAAAGCCCCCGUCAAUUUCGAUCCGAUUGUUUGGGGAGGAGGCGGCGCUGAAGAAGGAAAACGGACCGGGCUUGAGAAACGAAACCCGAAAUUAAACAUGGCCUUUGGGAAGAGGUCGAAAUCGAGAGGUCACCGAAUUCCAGACGAGGGGACGCUGCCCAAGUGAAUUGCGUUUAAGUAAUUUGUAAUUAUUCAAGUGGAGAUUUGGAUGGCUGUGGUAAAUAUAUGUAGGAUUAAAUGAUAUUCAAGUGGCGACUUGUAUGGCAGUGGUGAUUGUAUAUAUAUUUGUCGCUAAUUUAUGUGAAUAAUUGCACUCCAAAUGAACGUUGCAUAGGUGAAUAGAAAAAGGUGAGAUCGUCUAGGGUCGGCCAUCCGCGGCCAUCAGAAGACUGCAGAUCUGCCAUAGCCCCCUUCAAUUUCUAUCCGACAGUUUGUGUAGCAGACUAGCAGGCAAGGUGACGAUGGCAAUAAGCUAUUGUGGUUGGACAGGGUGACCUGAAGGGUUUGCACGUCGAUUUCUGCAAAGGCCAUGGCAAUAACAGGGAUUGAGGAUUGGCGAUACUGGAACUGGAUUGCUGCUGAAGAAUCAAGGAGUCAAAAGUGGUAUGAACCAGAAUGGUGGAAGUUUGGUGAUAUAAAAUCAUAUUUUUGCCAUGCUUCAGGUGAGAUGUAUGUCAUUUCUCAAGGUCUGGCCAAAUUUGUUUGAAUAAAUUGCUCCUAUCAUUAUUAGUUUCAUCAAGGUACAAGCACUACAAAAAAGAAUUGAUGUAAUUGAUAUUUUUGCCAUGCUUCAUGUGAGAUGUAUGACAUUUCUCAAGGUCUGGCCAAAUUUGUUUGAAUAAAUAGAGAUAUUCUCCGUACCUAUGUCCAUGAUGAUGUCAGUGUCGGAUCUUGGUUUAUUGGGCUUGAUGUUAAACAUGUUAAUGAUGCCAAGUUUUGCUGCUUCUCUUGGACAGGAGAAGCCAUUUGUGCUGGUGUAUGAUUUAUUUGCUUUGUGGUGGUGGAUCAAAGUAAAACCAGAUGUAGGGAGAUGGUUUAAAAGACAUGAAUCCAAUAUCCAUGAGAUGUUUGCAGCCUGCACAAUGUGGACUGUAGAGUAUGAAGAUUGAGGAAAAAUCAUAGCUGUGAUUGAGAAUUUUUUCCAAGCAUCUUUCCGUAGGUGAAGUAGCUUUGUUCCCAUUACAGUACACUGCAGAUAGGAAAGAAGGGAUUUCAACAAACUAUGCCUAGAGAAGGCGGUCGGUAUAGCUUUAUAGGUUUAGUAACACAAAUUUUACAGUGUAAUAGAGGAUGUUCUUAUUGCAAC